UGGGGAAUAUUGGACAAUGGGCGCAAGCCUGAUCCAGCCAUGCCGCGUGUGUGAUGAAGGCCUUAGGGUUGUAAAGCACUUUCGUCGAUGAAGAUAAUGACUGUAGUCGGAGAAGAAGCCCCGGCUAACUUCGUGCCAGCAGCCGCGGUAAUACGAAGGGGGCAAGCGUUGUUCGGAUUUACUGGGCGUAAAGCGUACGUAGGCGGAUGAUUAAGUCAGGGGUGAAAUCCCGGGGCUCAACCUCGGAACUGCCUUUGAUACUGGUCGUCUUGAGUCCGGGAGAGGUGAGUGGAACUCCUAGUGUAGAGGUGAAAUUCGUAGAUAUUAGGAAGAACACCAGUGGCGAAGGCGGCUCACUGGCCCGGAACUGACGCUGAGGUACGAAAGCGUGGGGAGCAAACA
rnacentral:rRNA from 1 species